rnacentral:misc_RNA from 1 species
CAGAGGAUAUGGGCGUGUAUCAGUGAGAUCGGUGUGCCGCUCACCAGAGAACAAGGGUUCCACCAGUUUGAUAUUAGAGGGAAUGCAUAUGGUCUUCUGGCAGCACACCCAGUAGCCCCACUUGUACUUGUAUCCCUCCAUCACCUUGAUUAUGUGGAUUCAUUGUUUCCAUACAAGAACCAAACGGACUCCCUCAAGUCUCUCAACCGUGCAUACCGAUUAGACCCGCCCCGUAUCCUUCAACAAACCUUCUGCCAUGACUACAACCGCAAGUGGUCAAUAUCAAUAGCAUGGGGCUAUACUGUUCAACUUUACCCCUUCUUAUUGCCGC